AAAUAGAUACCCGGGUAGUCCACGCCGUAAACGAUGACGUGCUAAGUGCUGGGGGGUUUCCGCCCCUCAGUGCUGCAGCUAACGCAUUAAGCACUCCGCCUGGGGGAGUACGGUCGCAAGACUGAAACUCAAAGGAAUUGACGGGGGCCCGCACAAGCGGUGGAGCAUGUGGUUUAAUUCGAAGCAACGCGAAGAACCUUACCAGGUCUUGACAUCCCGGUGACCACUAUGGAGACAUAGUUUCCCCUUCGGGGGCAACGGUGACAGGUGGUGCAUGGUUGUCGUCAGCUCGUGUCGUGAGAUGUUGGGUUAAGUCCCGCAACGAGCGCAACCCUUAUUCUUAGUUGCCAUCAUUUAGUUGGGCACUCUAAGGAGACUGCCGGUGAUAAACCGGAGGAAGGUGGGGAUGACGUCAAAUCAUCAUGCCCCUUAUGACCUGGGCUACACACGUGCUACAAUGGACGGUACAAACGGUUGCCAACCCGCGAGGGGAGCUAAUCCGAUAAACCCGUUCUCAGUUCGGAUUGUAGGCUGCAACUCGCCUACAUGAAC
rnacentral:rRNA from 1 species